GGGGACGUCUAUUUAGGUGCCGUACCGGUACUGGAAACGUUUCGGGGACGGGUACUUCACGGGGACAGCACUGGUACGGCUUGGGGACGGUUGGAGAACAUAGCUCUGAGUAAGACUAGUUUUCACGGGACAUAAUGCUUGUGUAAUUGUUUUUUAACUGUCACUGUUAUCUUGUUUCUAAUUUUAGUUGGCAAAAUAGACAUAUUAUAGUAAAUUAUAACUAAUUAUGUUAGAUUCACUAUAUAAAUUUAUUUUUUUAUAAACAUUUUAUAUUUUUUACUAGUAUAUAUUUGCAGUAUCCGUACCCAUUAUUUUUAAAUUCUCCCGUUUCCCGUCCCCGCUUCCGUUCCCGUUUCUGUCCCCGUAUCCGUCCCGGUGCAUCAUAGUUUCUGGGUUUCUUGUGAAUAAAAAAGUAGCCAUUUUCUUUAGUUACUAUUGUUUAUAUUGAAGGGUUUUGAAUCUGAGAAAGACGAUAGAGUUCUCCAGCUGUAUUCUUCUCUGGGUUGGUCGAAAAAAUUCAUCUUUCUAAUUGGUUCCUGAGAACGAUGCAACAAGGUCAGAUGAAGAAGUUUGGUCUCUCUCUCGCUCAGUUUCUUAAAGUAUUUUCCUUUUGGUGAAUUUAAGUUGUUUUCUUGGAUGUUUGAUUAACUUUGUGUUGUUUUUUUCAAUAUAAUGAUUCCUACAAAACAUGAAAGAGAUAGACUAUUUCACUGAGUAUGGUGAUGCCAACCGUUAUCAGAUUGUUUAUAUUUUUGGGAAAGGAAGCUAUGGAGUUGUUUGUGCCGCUAUUGAUACGCACACGGGAGAGAAUGCUAUAAAGAAGAUUAAUGAUGUCUUUGAAUAUAUUUGAUGCUCUAUGCAUCCUCCUUGAGGUCAAGCUUCUCCGGGUCUUAAGGCACUCGGAUAUAAUCCAAAUCAAAAGCAUCAUGCUUCCACCGUCCAAGAGAGAGUUUAAAUACAUGUAUGUCGUUUGAGCUCAGAUAAUGUUUACCCCCGCCAUCUUAAACUGAAGAUGGCAAAUGCAAAUUGCAAGUUGAAAGUCUGCGGCAUAACUAGCUAAGGACCGAAUGAAACUUGGUGAGGAUAUAUAUAUUCAAAUGUAUUACAACUAUAAUACAACAGAUCUCCUCAGUUCGUAGAUAUCUGGGCUAGAGUCAGUAAGACAAAUAAAGGAGAAAAUUGGUGAGCACCUCCUCUGUCAACCACUAAACAAUAUUGGGAAAAGACACUAUAGAGUUCUCAUUAAUCUGGAAAAGUGUUCCUAGCCUUCUUCGGUUCUUUUUGUGACUUAUGUUUUGUAAGCUAGACAAAAGAAAGAAGAAUUACAAUGCUUUCAAUGUAGUACAAGACACAUAAAAAUGAAGGAAACAACAAAAGUUACCCAUU